UACGGGGGGGGCAAGCGUUGUUCGGAAUUACUGGGCGUAAAGGGCUCGUAGGUGGCCAACUAAGUCAGACGUGAAAUCCCUCGGCUUAACCGGGGAACUGCAUCUGAUACUGGAUGGCUUGAGAUUGGGAGAGGGAUGCGGAAUUCCAGGUGUAGCGGUGAAAUGCGUAGAUAUCUGGAGGAACACCGGUGGCGAAGGCGGCGUCCUGGACCAACACUGACGCUGAUGAGCGAAAGCCAGGGGAGCAAACGGG
rnacentral:rRNA from 1 species